rnacentral:rRNA from 1 species
UCUUCCGCAAUGGACGAAAGUCUGACGGAGCAACGCCGCGUGAGUGAUGAAGGUUUUCGGAUCGUAAAACUCUGUUGUUAGGGAAGAACAAGUACCGUUCGAAUAGGGCGGCACCUUGACGGUACCUAACCAGAAAGCAACGGCUAACUACGUGCAAGCAGCCGCGGGAAUACGUAGGUGGCAAGCGUUGCCCGGAAUUAUUGGGCGUAAAGCGCGCGCAGGCGGUUUCUUCAGUCUGAUGUGCAAGCCCCCGGCUCAACCGGGGAGGGUCAUUGGAAACUGGGGAACUUGAGUGCAGAAGAGGAGGGUGGAAUUCCACGUGUAGCGGUGAAAUGCGUAGAGAUGUGGAGGAACACCAGUGGCGAAGGCGACUCUCUGGUCUGUAACUGACGCUGAGGCGCGAAUGCGUGGGGAGCGAACAG